rnacentral:rRNA from 1 species
AAUAUUGGACAAUGGGGGGAACCCUGAUCCAGCCAUGCCUCGUGUGUUAAGAAGGUCUUCGGAUUGUAAAGCACUUGAAGUUGGGAGGAAGAGUUGUAGGCUAAUACCUUGCAAUUUUUACGUUACCAACAGAAUAAGCACCGGCUAACUUCGUCCCCGCCGCCCCGGUAAUACGUAGGGUGCAAGCGUUAAUCGGAAUUACUGGGCGUAAAGCGUGUGUAGGCGGUUCGGAAAGAAAGAUGUGAAAGCCCCGGGCUUAACCUGGGAAUUGCUUUCAAAACUGACGAGCUAGAGUACGGUAGAGGGUAGUGGAAUUUCCUGUGUAGCGGUGAAAUGCGUAGAUAUAGGAAGGAACAUCAGUGGCGAAGGCGACUACCUGGACUGAUACUGACACUGAGGUGCGAAAGCGUGGGGAGCAAACAGG